UUCUCCCCUUCAUCUAAUACCCAGAUCUGAUAGAGAUCAAAUCUAAGAAAAGAAAAAGAAAGAGAAGAAGAUAAGAAGAAGGGUUUUCUUCUCUUCAUGAUGAUCUGGUUCAGAUCUCAUCGGAUCUGUGCGAAAGAGUUCGCGCAGUGAUCUCCUUCUUCAAGAUCUAGAAGAAGAGAUCUAGAUCCAAGGAUGAGGAGCGAGAUCU
rnacentral:lncRNA from 1 species